rnacentral:rRNA from 1 species
UACGUAGGGUGCGAGCGUUAAUCGGAAUUACUGGGCGUAAAGAGCUCGUAGGCGGUCUGUCGCGUCGGAUGUGAAAACCCAGGGCUCACCCUGGGACCUGCAUUCGAUACGGGCAGACUAGAGUUCGGUAGGGGAGACGUGGAAUUCCUGGUGUAGCGGUGAAAUGCGCAGAUAUCAGGAGGAACACCGGUGGCGAAGGCGGGUCUCUGGGCCGAUACUGACGCUGAGGAGCGAAAGCGUGGGGAGCGAACAGG